GCUAGCGGCAGGCCUAAUACAUGCAAGCCGAACGGUAAGUUUUGUAGCAAUACGAGACCUAGAGUGGCGUAAGGGUGCGUAACACGUAUGCAAUCUACCCGCAACAGGAGGAUAGCUCCCCGAAAGGGGAAUUAACCCUCCAUGAGAUCACGGUGCGGCAUCGCAGAGUGAUUAAAUCUGAGGAGGUUGUGGAUGAGCAUGCGUCUGAUUAGCUAGUUGGCGGGGUAACGGCCCACCAAGGCGAUGAUCAGUAGGGGAACUGAGAGGUUGAUCCCCCACACUGGCACUGAGAUACGGGCCAGACUCCUACGGGAGGCAGCAGUAGGGAAUAUUGGUCAAUGGGUGAGAGCCUGAACCAGCCAUGCCGCGUGCAGGAAGAAGGCCUUCUGGGUUGUAAACUGCUUUUGCCAGGGGAUAAAAAGACCUUGCGAGGUUAAUUGAAGGUACCUGGUGAAUAAGCCACGGCUAACUACGUGCCAGCAGCCGCGGUAAUACGUAGGUGGCAAGCGUUGUCCGGAUUUAUUGGGUUUAAAGGGUGCGUAGGCGG
rnacentral:rRNA from 1 species